CCGCGUGUGUGAUGAAGGUCUGCGGGUUGUAAAGCACUUUUAUUAGGAAAGAAAAACCCGGAGUUAAUACCUCCGGCAUUGACGGUACCUAAAGAAUAAGCACCGGCUAACUCAGUGCCAGCAGCCGCGGUAAUACUGAGGGUGCAAGCGUUAAUCGGAAUUACUGGGCGUAAAGCGAGUGUAGGCGGCUGCGUAAGUCGGAUGUGAAAGCCCCGGGCUCAACCUGGGAAUUGCAUUCGAAACUGCGUAGCUAGAGUUUGGUAGAGGUAAGUGGAAUUCCGGGUGUAGCGGUGAAAUGCGUAGAUAUCCGGAGGAACAUCAGUGGCGAAGGCGGCUUACUGGACCAAAACUGACGCUGAGGCUCGAAAGCGUGGGGAGCAAACGGGAUUAGAUACCCUGGUAGUCCACGCCCUAAACGAUGUCAACUAGACGUUGGGUUCAUUAAGGAACUUAGUGUCGAAGCUAACGCGUUAAGUUGACCGCCUGGGGAGUACGGCCGCAAGGUUGAAGCUCAAAGGAAUUGACGGGGGCCCGCACAAGCGGUGGAGCAUGUGGUUUAAUUCGAUGCAACGCGAAGAACCUUACCAGCCCUUGACAUCCUGGGAACUUUGUAGAGAUACAUUGGUGCCUUCGGGAAUCCAGUGACCGGUGCUGCAUGGCUGUCGUCAGCUCGUGUCGUGAGAUGUUGGGUUAAGUCCCGCAACGAGCGCAACCCUUAUCCUUAGUUGCCAGCACGUUAUGGUGGGAACUCUAAGGAGACUGCCGGUGAUAAACCGGAGGAAGGUGGGGAUGACGUCAAGUCAUCAUGGCCCUUAUGGGCUGGGCUACACACGUGCUACAAUGGUCGGUACAGAGGGCCGCGAUCCCGCGAGGGGGAGCCAAUCCCAGAAAGCCGAUCUUAGUCCGGAUCGCAGUCUGCAACUCGACUGCGUGAAGUCGGAAUCGCUAGUAAUCGCGAAUCAGC
rnacentral:rRNA from 1 species